GAAAUGAGGAUAUGAUUUCAAAAGGCAGUCAGAAAUGGAAACAGCCUUCAGUAGGAGGCAGAAGACCUGGGUACUAUUCCCAGCACAGCUACUGUGCUUGAGUGAGUCACUUAAACUUUCUGGGCCUUAUUUUUUCCUCUACAAUACUGGCAUCGCUGCCAUGCAUUGAUGUGGGAGUUGAGUAAGAAAUUUUACGGAACUAGUCAUAAAUUGUAAAACAAAGGUAUGUACGAAUAAGCCUCAUACUGGGAAUCAGAAGCCCUGGAUUCUAGUCCCGGUUCUGCCAUUGACACUGUGAUUUUUGGGCAGGUUCACUUGUGAAAUGAAAGUGCUGCAUUAGAAUCGUUAUUUCUUACAAUAUAUAGUACUUAAAAUCAAGUAUUUGUAAGGCCAAAGAAGGCCCUCGAAUAUCUUGAGUUAUCUCAUACACGGUAAACAGUGACAAAGUAAUGGCCAUUUGAGGCAACAGUGACAUACAACGAUGAGCUGUCCGUAUCAGAGACACACACUCGGGAUAACUGGGAGUAUCAACAUCACUCUCCGACCGGCUUGGUGACUUUUAGCUGUUGCCCCUCAGCACUUCUAUUCUUCUACUCAUUUAAAUAGGCAAAGCAGGAUGAAGUAACUUAAACGAAAAAGAGAACUUAGACCUUCAGGGGUAAAAACUGAUUAGCAGCUGGCUAGGGAGAGGACUGAAGUUCACCAACUGGAUGGUGAAAAAUCAUCUUUUCUUCGUGUGCUUACUAGUGGGGUUUUUCUAUAGAACCUCGUCACCUCCAACUCAGACUGGCUGAAAAGAGUCCGUGAGGCGCCGGGAGUUCGAGACGCUACUCCCAGGUAGCAUCUGACUAUGGAGUUCAGUCCCAGGAAGGGCAGGCGGUCCCUCAGUCUGCAAACCAGGCAGACCCCGUCGACAGGGAAGUCAACCCAAGAGGGAUCUCCGGCGCUCCUAGUCGGGAAAGCAAUGACAAUUGCAAGGCCAUGAAGAUGGGGUGAGUUUCAAGACUCAAACUUCAACGGCCAGCUGAGGAAUUGGACACAAGUGUCACCUGUCCUUGUGGCUUCUGCUGUGUCCUCAUCUUACACCACAAGGCCUCUUCAUGUCUGCCAGCAAUAUGUGCCACACCUGCUCUGCUCAUUUCUGCCACUGGAGAAAAUGUUCCACCACUCCCCGUGCCACCCUCAAGCAUGAAGAGUCACUCAUUCCUGUCUACUGCUCCUGGACUAUGUUGGGUGUGGGGACCUCCCCGUGGUUUGCCACCUAGGGUAAGGUGGUGCUGCUGUAACAAAAACAAUGGACAAUUAUUCAGUGGAUUGAACAAGAUAGAAGUUAAUUUGUCUCUUAUAUAAUUGCAAUGCACUGAAUAUUUAUGUCCUCCCCAAAUUUGUAUGUUGAAACCUAAUCCCCAGCGUGAUAGUGUUUGAAGUUAGGAGCAUUGAGAGGUGAUUAGGUCAUGAGGGCUGAGCCCUCAGGAAUGGAAUAAGUGUAAUUAUACAAAAGAGGCUCUGGAGGGCCCCCUUGCCUCCUCCACCAUGUUACAACACAGUGGGAAGACAGGAACCAGGAAGCUGGUUCUCACCAGACACCAAAUCUGUGGGUACCUUGAUCUGGACUUCCCAGCUUACAGAACUGUAAGAAAUAAAUUUCUGUUGCAUUUAAGUCCCCCAGCCUAUGAUAUUCCAUUGCAGCAGCCCAGACUGAGUAAGACAAUAAUGGUCUAAGGACUGACGUCCUAGGUCAGCUGAUGGCUGCGCUCCACGUCCGUCCAGGUGCUCAGGUUUCUUCCAGUGAGCUGCUCCACGGUCUGCAUGGUUGAGGAUGAUUCUUGUGGGGUACAACUGGCAGGAAAAAGUCCUUGGAACUCUUCUCUUUCUCCACUCAUCCUACCUGAUCUCAUUUAGUUCUUGGCUUUUCUCCCACUGAUGACCUUGAAAUGUGUCUUCAGCCUGGCUUCCCCCUGAGACGUCUCUAUUUGGAUGUCUGAUAACAUCUCAAACUUGGCAUUUAAAAUGUCCACUCCUUCCUCAGUCCUCCCUCGUUCAGUUAAUGACAGUUCCAUUUUUCCAUUGUUCAGGUCAAAACUCUUGGUGUCAUCCUUGACUCCUGUGCUUCUCUCAUG